CUUAGUGCCAAUACUGACCUGGUUACUUCCCAUAGAGCCCAGGCUUAGAUAUCACACACAGCAGGCAUGCAGUGACAGAUGCCAUGUACAGUGCUAGGCACAGGAGCUGCAUGCACACACCCAGUCUAUGCCAGACCCCAUACACCCACACGCAAUUAGCAUCAUGCAAAGAGGCUUAGAUCCCAUAAGUAAACGUUCAGCUUCCAACGAGACAGCUCCAGGAAAGGUUUUAUGUACAUUGGAUUGACCAGGAACAGAAGUAACCAUCAUUACAGAAUGUUCACCUGCAGAAACCUAUAUGAGUUAUUCAGAGGAGAAACCACUGCUGGCAGCUCUGUCACGUCAUCUGUCAGCGGGACUUUGUGUCAAAUGCAAGACUCAAUUUUUAUGAUAUCUUUAUUUACUUUUUUUUUUCUUUCUAGCAACUGGCAUCAUAACUUGCCAUUAUAUUCUCUCAUUAUCAGACAUGAAUUAUAUGAAACUUUGCACCACAUCUAGGUAUGUGGUUUAAAGGGAUAUAAAACCUUUAUAUUUUGCUUUCCCGAUUCAGAUAGAGCAUGCAAUUUUAAGCAACUUUCUAAUUUACUCCUAUUAUCAAUUUUCUUCAUUAUCUUGGUAUCUUUAUUUGAAAAAGUAGGAAUGUAAGCCUAGGAGCCUGCCCAUUUUGGUUCAGAACCCUGGGUAGUGCUUGCUUAUUGGUGGCUACAUUUAGCUUUAAAGGGCCAGUCAACACCAGAAUUUUUGUUUUUUUAAAAGAUAGAUAAUCCCUUAAUUACCAAUUCCCCAGUUUUGCAUAACUAGCACAGUUAUAAUUAUACACGUUUUACCUCUGUAAUUACCUUGUAUCUAAGCCUCAGCAAACUGCCCCCUUAUUUCAGUUCUUUUGACAGACUUGCAGUUUAGCCAAUCAGAGCUGUCUCCAUGGUAAAUUCACGUGCAUGAGCUCAAUGGUAUCUAUAUGAAACACAUGAACUAAUGCUCAAUGGUAUCUAUAUGAAACACAUGAACUAAUCAAAAUGUAUUUAGAUUAGAGGCGGCCUUCAAGGUCUAAGAAAUUAGCAUAUGAACCUCCUAGGUUUAGCUUUCAACUAAGAAUACCAAGAGAGUAAAGCAAAAUUGGUGAUAAAAGUAAAUAGGAAAGUUGUUUAAAAUUACAUGCCCAAUUUGAAACAUGAAAGUUUUUUUUUUUUUUUGGACUUGACUGUCCCUUUAAGAGUAUCUUAUUGAUUUCACUGAUAAAACAACAUAUCAUUAAGAGCUAUAGAUAGAUUAUUACACGGACUACAAGUAACAUAUGUAGUUAGCAAAUAUGACCUGCUGGUCUGUACAGGUCACCUAUACAAUAGGCAUUGCCAAUUCCUGUUACUACACUUAGUACCGUUUGCAGGAAGAACACUCAAUGUAUUUUCUUCUACAUUAUUUGUAAAAUGUGAUUUUCAGUCUAUUAAUAACAGUCUAGAUAUAAAGAGCAUCCUCAAGACACACUCUGCAGUACUUGAACCCAGCUGAUACAAGUUGAAUAACCAUUUUACUGCAUAUACAUUUAUCAUUAUUAAAGGGAUAUAAAACCCAACAAUUUUAUUUUGUGAUUCGCACAGAACAUACCAUUUUUAAAAAAGUUUCCCAUUUACUUCUGUUAUCAAAUUUGCUUAAUUCCCAUGGUAUUCUUUGUUGAAAAGAUACCUAGGUAGGCAUCUGGAACACUAUAUGGCAGGAAACAGUGCUGCCAUUUAGUGCUCUUGAAAAUGGACAAUAUUCUUGCAAAACUGCUGCCAUAUAGUGCUCUAGAAAUGGGAAGAACUAAGCACAUGUCCUUAGUUUUCAAAAAAAGAUACCAAGGUAAGAAAGAAAAAUUAAUAAUAGAAGUAAAUAAGAAAUUUACUUAUAAUCACAUGGUCUAUCUGAAUCUUGAAAGAAAAAAUGUUAGGUUCCAUAUCCCUUUCAUUUCAGAUAUCAACAAGUGCCCAUUUUAGCAAUUUAUUAGGAGUUGUCAGUGGAAAUAGAGACUGGGCAUACAGACAUACUUUUAAAGGGACACUGAACCCAAAUUUUUUUCUUUCGUGAUUCAGAUAGAGCAUAAAAUUUUAAGCAACUUUCUAAUUUACUCCUAUUAUCAAAUUGUCUUCAUUCUCUUGGUAUCUUUAUUUGAAAUGCAAUGUAAGUUUAGAUGCCGGUCCAUUUUUGGUGAACAACCUGGGUUGUCUUUACUGAUUGGUGGAUAAAUUCAUCCACCAAUAAAAAAGUACUGUCCAGAGUUCUGAACAAAAAAGCUUAGAUGCCUUCUUUUUCAAAUAAAAAUAGCAAGAGAACGAAGAAAAAUUGAUAAUAGCAGUAAAUUAGAAAGUUGCUUAAAAUUGCAUGCUCUAUCUGAAUCAUGCAAUAAAAAAAUUUGGGUUCAGUGUCCCUUUAAGUAAGACUGAAACUUUACUAGUAUAUAAUACAUUUAUUUUAUAUAGCAACUAUAUGCAUUUUUUUUCUUGUUUGUUUCCGAGAUGAUGUCACACAAAUAAAAAAUUGCAAAGAAACCAA